UUAGGUUUCAUUAUUGUUCCACAAGAUGUGUAUGUCUUUAAGGGCCAGAGCAAAUAACUUGACCUAGUUUUACAGCUGUGAAGCAGUAUAGCAGGUGCUGUUAAGUUAUGUUAAUUAAACUGUUGGGUAUAGUAUAUAAGGAGCAGCACCUAGCUCUCUCAGUAUCCUGGUGGAUGGGUCAUGCUUACAGAUAUAUUGUAAAAGGAGUUUUUGUUUUUGCUAUUAAAACCUAGCAAAAGUUA